rnacentral:lncRNA from 10 species
AUUUUUCCCUUGGUUUUUUGAGGUGAAGAGUCCAUAAAUCUUUCUUAGGUGAUCACAUGUGUUUGGCUUUUUAAAGUAAACUAACUUUAUAAUAAUCGUACUAAAAUAAAAUGCUUUGAAAUGUUUCACAAUUGGGUAUUUUUUCAUUAAAAAUAACUAUUGGGAUUGUGGGUAUACAGGCUAGAGAGAACACACAAUUGGCUCAUUUAAAAAAUGUUAUUACAUUUUUGAUAAUGGGAAUAACAAAAUAUUUACUGUGGGAAGUUGAAAGUAAUAUUCUGAGGCCCAGUGAGGGUCACUGAUACUGGGGAGAAAACAAUCAAGAGCCAUGCAGAAGUAAAAUGCAAUGGAAUGUAGAUAGUUUCCUUUUGUGUUGGGAACAUUCAGAAUCCUCUCCUCUGGCUAUUUUGAAAUAUAAAAUAAAUUUUUGUUAACUAUAGUUGCCCUACUGUGCCCUAGAACACUAAAAAAAAAAAAAAAAAAGAGUUCCCUUUCUCUACGUCCUCACCAGCAUUUGUUGUUUUCUGUCUUUUUUAUAAUAG